GCAUGUUUUCCCUACAUCACAAAUUUACUUCUCCAUGGUUGCAUUGCAAGUUUUAUCAACUUUAACGAUGGACUAACAUACAGGGAACAACAAGGCUGAAAAUAAUUAACAAUGAAAAAAUAAUUUUCAGUAUCAUCUGUACUUUCUAGGUCUUUGAGUCUAGUUCUUUACCUGUGUUUAAUUUUAGUUUCCUCAUAGUUUUCUCAUUACUCAUUAAUUCAUUGCUUAAUCUUAUCUGUUCCUUGUUUCACUGUUCGGUUCAGUUUUUUGUCUGUUCUUCUUGUUAUAAGGUUUGGCUUACUGCACCCUGUGUUUCGGUGUGGGUUUUGUUUUCAUUUAAUAAAUCUGUGUAGAAAAUACUCCCCGAAUGUGACGGAAGAACAGACCUAAAAACAUGGAGCAGUGGUUCAAACCUCCUCUUCAUCCAUAGAGACUGAUUCACGUGUGACUUCAUACUUCAUACAAGAUUAACCUGGUUUUUCAAUAACAUUUCAUCCUCACCACUGAAUGGAGGUUAUACCUCUGAAUCAUUCAACAAAGUAUCCACAAAUUUUUUUCUUCUGCAGAACAUAGAAGAUUCUUUGAAGAAUGAACAUUCAUUUAUCACUUUAAGAUGGUUGGUUUAAAUAGCUCUUUACAUUCCUUGUAAUUACUUUAUCCUCCCAAGUAAAUGAUCUCUCAUUUUCUAGCAAUGUUUGCUUCUGUUAAGUUGUAUUUGCUCAUGAAGACCCUCCCCUUUGAAAAGCUAUAAGAUGAGCGCUGAAAAAGGCACGUCAUUUCAUUCAGCUCCUGAUCAACGAUGGAUCUGCAAAUCUCAGUUUUUCUUUUGUUCGUUCUCUUCACUGCAGGACACUCUUUCAGCUGUUAUGAGUGUAUGGGUCUGAUGGGUUCUUGUUCGGAUCAAAAGAUAAAAUCAUGUCCCAGUGGAUUCUCCAAGUGCAUGAGUUCAACAACAGUAACAAAUGUUGGUGAAUGACUGUGCAAGUGGAUCCAUGAACAUCGGCCUUGGAGAGAUGUCUUUUUUGUGCGGUAACACAGACCUGUGUAACGUCAGGGAUGCUCCAGGUAUUGUGCUUUAAUAGCAAGAAAAAAAUGUAUAAUAAAAAAGAAUAAAAAUGAACACUCAUUUUACUUCCGAAGG
rnacentral:lncRNA from 1 species